AUUGAACGCUGGCGGCGUGCCUAAUACAUGCAAGUCGAACGCAGUGGGGACGGGUGAGUUACACGUGGCUAACCUCCCAUCAGAGGGGAUAACAGUUGGAAACAGGUGCUAAACCGAUACUGCUGGAUGGUCCCGCGGUGCAUUAGCUAGUUGGUGAGGGAACGGCUCACCAAGGCCACGUGGCGUAGCCGACCGUGGAGGAGGAUCGGCCACACGGGGACUGAGACACGGCCCAGACGCCUAAGUGAGGCAGCAGUAGGGAAUCUUCGGCAAUGGACGAAAGUCUGACCGAGAAACGCCGCGUGAGUGAAGAAGGUUUUCGGAUCGUAAAACUCUGUUGUUAGAGAAGCGGUAUCUAACGAAAAAGCCACGGCUAACUACGUGCCAGCAGCCGCGGUAAUUC
rnacentral:rRNA from 1 species